UUUUAUUCCUUUACCCGCUGUAUAUCAGACGUUAUACUAAUUUCGUCUUGCAUCAUCUUUGGCGACAUUCAGCCGCCUUAUUUAGCCUAAUUAUCUUUAAGGCUACUAUAAAGAAAUACGACAAAUGGGAGCUAUUUAACAUAUAAAAUAUUUAUUCAAAUUAGAGGGAUUUGCACCCAGGCGCCAAUCUCAAAAAGUCCUGCAGGUGCUUCUCUGCUUCCGCAUCUGUUGAUUGGAGCAUGGGAUUUCUCACAGCUGCGCCUGGACAAGAGAGAGAAACAGAAUCGGUGUGAGAAAAAACAAUUUCGUCAUUUCCACAACUGGACAAAGUUAGGAGCAACCUUUUACAAUCUGUGGGAGCAACACAGCAACAGUGUCUGGCAUACGAGAGCUUGGAGUUUUGGAGGUUGUCCUCAAGCCUGUCAAGGUCCUCCAUUGUCUGAAGGGGAAGUGAAAAGGAGUCUUCCUCCAGUUGUGGUCGACCCCUUCCUACAUGCCCACCUUGCACCAGGCUCUCCACCAUGUUUGUGAGAUGGCGUAUUUGGAGGUCCAUCUCUCGGACAGCUUGUAGAAGCACCCUUUCAAAGGCUGCAUGAACAAGAUGCCUUCCAUAGGCAUACCUGCACAGGCUGGUUGCCUGAAUUCUCCUCUGGAGUGGAGGGCUUGAUAUGUUGCUGUGAAGAGCAAAAGGGAGGUAAAUGUCUUUUUACAAUAUGACAACUCUACCACCACUACCAUUAAUCUUUGUA